AAAACACCUAACCUAGAAACCCCAUGACGCAAACCCUUCCACCACCACCACCAGCUUCCCCCAACACACGCACACAAUUUCCUAAAGAUUUCACCACACCGCACUGUUUGCAUGAAAUCGAGCUUUUUUUUCUCUCUAUGUAAUUUUUAUUAUCUCUUUAAAACGAUUAUAAUACAGUCUACCUCCUCUGUUAUACCCACUUCAGCAUACGGAUUUUUCCUAAUUUCUUGUAAUCUUUGAUACGCAUUUACAUUUUUCCAGAACCCUAUUUGCGUUUUUGGUGAAGUAACGUAUUUUGUGAAUGGUUUUCUGGGAUUUUAGAUUAGCAUUCGAUUGAUUUUAUUGGUGUAGGUGGUUCAAUGUAUUUACAUGAACUACUUUUUCUGACUGUUAAUGCUUUUUAGUUGGCGUCAUUUUGUUAAAUGGCUCUCGAAAAUUUUGCUGAAAUGUUGAUUUUGGUUGGUGGAUAUGUUUGAAAUAUUGAGGGUAGUAUUGGAUCAUGCUCUUUCUGCGCCUGGUUCGCAGAUUUGGUACAGUGCCCCAUAUUUCUGUUGCAGCUGCUGAUGUGCCGUCUAUUAACAAUGUUGGUCCUGCUAGGAAUAUUGGGGAGUCAAAUAAUAUGCAAAAACCUAUCAAAAUAGAUGAACCCGCACUUGUUAAGUUGAAAAAUGAAAGGGACCCUGAAAAGUUGUUUAAUUUGUUUAAGGCCAAUGCCCACAAUAAGGUUCUUGUUGAAAAUCGAUUUGCAUUCGAGGAUACAAUUUCUAGGUUAGCUGGUGCUGGUCGGUUUGAUUACAUUGAGAAUUUGCUUGACCAUCAGAAAACUUUGCCGCAGGGCCGGCGAGAAGGAUUCAUAAUUCGAAUUAUAGUGUUGUAUGGGAGGGCUGGAAUGUUUAAACACGCUGUUAAUACAUUUUAUGAUAUGCAUCUGUAUGAUUGUAAGAGGACAGUUAAGUCGUUUAAUGCUACGUUAAAGGUGUUGACUCAAUCCCGUGAUUUGGAGGCGAUUGAAUCUUUUCUAAGAGAUGUGCCGUUCAACUUUGGCAUCGAGCUAGAUGUGUUUUCUAUUAAUAUUGUUAUCAAAGCAUUUUGUGAAAUGGGUUUAUUGGAUAAAGCUUAUUUGGUCAUGGUUGAGAUGGAAAAGAUGGGAAUAAGUCCGGAUGUGAUUACAUACACAACACUAAUAGCGGCCUUUUACAAGGCAAACCGAUGGGAGAUUGCCAAUGGAUUAUGGAACCUUAUGAUACUAAAGGGUUGUCUUCCUAACGUGGCAACCUUCAAUGCCAGAAUUCAAUUCUUAGUGAAUAAAGGGCGAGCUUGGGAUGCUAACAAGUUAUUGGGUUUGAUGCAUUGCUAUGGGAUACGUCCAGAUGAGAUAACAUAUAAUUUGGUGAUUAAAGGCUUUAGCUGUGCUGGAUACCUUGAAAUGGUAACGAGAGUUUUUAAUGCUUUUUGCCAUGAAGGAUACAAGCCCAAUCAAAAAAUUUAUCAGACCUUGAUCCACUAUCUUUGUCGAGCAGGUAAUUUUGAUUUGGCAUACACUUUUUGUAAAGACAGUAUGCAAAAGAAUUGGUAUCCUAGUGUGGAUAGCAUCUGUAAGCUGCUUGAAGGUCUGAGGAAGGACAAAAAACUUGACAAACUUGAAAAGGCCAAAUAUAUUUUUCUCCUGGCUCAGAAAAGGGUACCUCCUUUUUCUAGUGAUCAAAUAAGUGCCAUGAAAACUACAUUGUCGAGGAGUUGAAAUAGACAUUGGAUGGUGAACUGUUGCAUGAAACGAUAUGGAGGCUAAGCAGCAGGUAACUUUCCAUAUAAAUCAUCUAUCAUUGAAUGAAGUUGAUGGGAUAUGCUCUUCUGAGAGAUGACAUUUAGGUGAAGACAUCGAAUUUUCUUCAAUUAAGUUGGGGUACUGCCUUAAUCAGAUGCAUGGUGAAAUGGAAGUGCUAAGAUGAGGAACAACCUAAGUUUUUGUAAGUUACUUAAGGAUAUAAUUAUUUCUCCUCUUUUUCGUAGUGUCAUUGUUGAUGUACAUAGAUCUUUGUGUGCAAGUUUAUGUCCGUCAAUCAAUGUUCUCUUUGCUUUGCAUCUUCAUUCCUACCUGUACACUUUGUAGUACUAAUGCUUCAUUUAGUGCAGUCACAAACAUCAAAUCUUUUAGUGCAGUCACCAACAUCAAAUCUUUGUAAACUAUAAACCAUUUUUGAGACUUGUGCAUGUUAUUUUCCUUGUAAUCAGAUUUGUGAUGAAUGGAAUAUCUGUGAAGCAGCAAAAGUACUCUUAUUGCGGCCCCGUAGAUGGCAUUUUGAAAACUUCGGCCCACUAAUGGUUAGUUUUGCUAUCCCUUGGCUAUACAUGCCUAUUUACUUGUGGUUAUCAAACAACUAUUAGUACUUCAGUCAUAUUUGAUACAUGUAGACUAAGCUAUACAUAGGAAAUACAUGGAGUGGAUUUUGAGAGUGACAUCAGGGUACUUAGAGAUGGCUAAUAAGUAAUCUUUAUAAUUUAUUGCGUGCGUACAUAUAUGCUCAAAACACAACAUAUAGAGGGUGUUUAGUGGGGAUUAAAAUUAGAUUUUUAGUAGAUUAUGAUACAAGUUUUUGAAAUGUGUGAUUGAAAAGUUGUGGGACCCAUGAAAUAUGGUAAAUGUUGAUUGUUUGACUUUAACUUAGAUUAAAAUCAGAUUUUAAUUCAAACCAAACAGACUGAUACUCUUACACUCACUAAAAAUUGGUUCUGCGGAAUUAGAUAUGAUGACUGACAAAUUAAUUAUUUUAUGUUGGAUCCAAAGAAUUGGAAAAAUCCAAUACUCCCAAUUUCCUUAAUGUCUGGAAAAUAAUUUAUAUCUUUGUACCAAAUCAAUUCACUGAUCUCCCUUGUGGGAUAGGUUCAAAUUCUCACUUAGAAUUAUCAUUAUAAGGUGGCAAAGAGUGUGCACCUUUCUCAUGAAAAAUAAGAAUAAUAAAAAUUCAAGCGACAUUACACCUGUGGAUGCAAAGG
rnacentral:lncRNA from 1 species